AAACGUUUCAGCUGCUUAGUGAAUGUUCUGUGCAAAGUGUGACCAGACUAUUUGUAGACAACGAUGUCAGGAACUAUUGUAUUUUGGAGUUUGAACGCAAUGAAUUUACCGCUACAGAGUCUUUUUGGUUUAUUUGGUUUAAAACGGAGUAUGAACUUGCAAACUUUGAACGUGCUCUGCUGGAAGCUUGGCGGGAGCUUUUCCAGAUCGAUCUUCAGUUUCUUGUCUUGGGUGAGGGAUU